UGGUGGAGUGAUUUGUCUGGUUAAUUCCGUUAACGAACGAGACCUCGACCUGCUAAAUAGUUCGGCGAAUUCCUCGGGAUUCGUACUGACUUCUUAGAGGGACUAUCGGUGCUUAGCCGAUGGAAGUUCGAGGCAAUAACA
rnacentral:rRNA from 1 species